GACGAACGCUGGCGGCGUGCCUAAUACAUGCAAGUCGAGCGGACUUGAUGGAGUGCUUGCACUCCUGAUGGUUAGCGGCGGACGGGUGAGUAACACGUAGGUAACCUGCCCGACAGACCGGGAUAACAUUCGGAAACGAAUGCUAAUACCGGAUACGCGAUUUCCUCGCAUGGGGGAAUCGGGAAAGACGGAGCAAUCUGUCACUGUUGGAUGGACCUGCGGCGCAUUAGCUAGUUGGUGAGGUAACGGCUCACCAAGGCGACGAUGCGUAGCCGACCUGAGAGGGUGAUCGGCCACACUGGGACUGAGACACGGCCCAGACUCCUACGGGUGGCUG
rnacentral:rRNA from 1 species